UACGAAGGGGGCUAGCGUUGUUCGGAAUUACUGGGCGUAAAGCGCGCGCAGGCGGCUAUCCAAGUCAGUGGUGAAAUCCCAGAGCUCAACUCUGGAACUGCCUUUGAAACUGGUGACCUUGAGUACGGGAGAGGUGAGUGGAAUUCCCAGUGUAGAGGUGAAAGUCGUAGAUAUUGGGAAGAACCCCGGUGGCGAAGGCGGCUCACUGGCCCGUAACUGACGCUCAGGCGCGAUAGCGUGGGGAUCAAACAGG
rnacentral:rRNA from 1 species